rnacentral:pre_miRNA from 1 species
CUAUGCUUAAAAUCCACAUUGAAGUCGGGUUUCGUUAACAGCGGGCUGUUAUGGACAAAACAACAAGUUCGUUGUCGACGAAACCUGCAUGCUAUGUGGAAAAACAACAAC